rnacentral:rRNA from 2 species
GGACCCGCACAAGCAGCGGAGCAUGUGGUUUAAUUCGAAGCAACGCGAAGAACCUUACCAGGGCUUGACAUCCUCCUGACCGGCGUGUAACGGCGCCUUUCCUUCGGGACAGGAGAGACAGGUGGUGCAUGGUUGUCGUCAGCUCGUGUCGUGAGAUGUUGGGUUAAGUCCCGCAACGAGCGCAACCCUUGUCUUUAGUUGCCAUCAGGUCAUGCUGGGCACUCUAGAGAGACUGCCGGGGAUAACUCGGAGGAAGGUGGGGAUGACGUCAAAUCAUCAUGCCCCUUAUGUUCUGGGCUACACACGUGCUACAAUGGCCGGUACAAUGAGAAGCAAUACGGCGACGUGGAGCAAAUCACCAAAAACCGGUCCCAGUUCGGAUUGCAGGCUGAAACCCGCCUGCAUGAAGUCGGAGUUGCUAGUAAUCGUGGAUCAGAAUGCCACGGUGAAUACG